GGAAUGAUUGGGCUAUAUUUUGUAAGAAAAGUUGAUGAAUGUUGAAUUUUUAAUAAUCAAAGUGAAGGAAAAACUCAUCAAAUGAUUUCAUAUUAAUGAUAUUUCGAUAUGAAAACAAAAAUUGUGAAAGAAAUUGACCAUAAGACAAUCAUGGCCAAAUAUUUUAAUAUCCAUCCUAUAACUUUGGAUUAUAAAAUAGUAUGGAUUUACAAAGGGCAUUUAAAUAAAUAAUUGAUUAUAUUGAUUUUUGAGAUUAUUUGGCAAAGCAAUGAUAAAUCAAAUGUCCUCUAUAUUGUUAUAGCUAUGGCAGAAUGUUAUUUGUACUAUGAUUAUGCUACAUUUCCUGAUAUAAG